rnacentral:rRNA from 1 species
UCAAUCUCGUGCGGCUAUAUAUACCGCCGGUCCCUCUAAGAAGAUUUUCAUUUUACGCCGGUAGUGGAAGACCGCGCACACGCGCGCCUCAACCUCGNNNGGACGCAAGCGCCCUCGGAGGCGGCAACGCGCGCACGCGGGCCCUCGUGAUACCGGUUGUGCGCGUCUAUUUAAUAGGCUAGAGUUACGUUCGUUAC